CGAGAAAAGAAACGAGCCCGAAAACUCGAAAGUGAUCAGCUGGGAGUAUUACGUAAUUUGUCGCGAGGACAAGACAGACAUUUCACAUGAGCCAUAAAUAAAAAGGGUGAGAAAACCCUAGAAACCUCAAAACUAUCUCUUCCCCUCUCGGCUGUGUCUCUAUCCUCUCUCCUUCUCACUUUCUCGUCUUCCCUAUGCCACCACCAGAGACACUAGUUCCAGCCACCACCUCUUAUCACCAUCACCACCAAUCGAUCUGGCACACAAAUCUGACCCAAGCCUGAGUCUCAUCAUCGACAUGCAUCGCCUCCGGCCUCCACACGCUUUCCUAAAAGCCAUGACAGCGGUGCUCUCCAGUCUUCAUCGAUUUCCGCCGACUCCUCACCACACCGUCACUAUCAGCGAGCUCAGAGCAAGCAUGUUAUCAAGCCCUGAAGCUCGUCGUUGACCCGACAUAGGAGGACCAGUGUACACGACAUCCCUGAAGCUCACAGCUUUGCGUUUUGUCGUUCUCCAACCUCCAAUUCAAAUUGAUCCAAAUCACCUCCAAGAAUAGAAUCAGCGCCUCUCUUUUUACCAUAUUCCCAUAACCCCGACUAGAGCCGCCGCACGUGCUACACGCGCAGUCGUCGACACUUGGACCACCGUAGGUUCGCCGCUUACAAUCGCUGGAUCUUCAGGCCUUCUCGAUUAGGUAAUUUGUCGUACUCUUCUUUGGUUAAAACCUCCAAUUUUGAUUUGGAUUGAGAAAAUCCUAACCCAUUGUCAUUCAAUUUGGAAUUGAGGUUUUGUGGAGUUUGCAAUUUUGGGAUUUUUGAGAGGAGAAGUUCCUGAGAUAGUUUUGAUUGAAAUCGGGAGAAAGGGAAUCCGAAGGAUUAAUGGUGGUGGAGCACAGCUUGAAGGAUUAAUGGUCGUGGAGCACAGCUUCGAUGAUUUGACUUCUAAUUUGGAAAAGAAGAAUGUAAAUAAGUGGAGUUGCGAAAACGAGAAGAAAUAGUGCAAAAUUAGAACAAAUUGGAGUUUUCGACAAGUAGGCGACCGGUCAAUUGAUCAACCAUGAGUCACCUUCGUCCAACAAAUGAGAGAGAGAAAGAAAUGAAAGCAGGUUUAAUUAAAUUAAUUAAGCAUGGGCUUAAUUGGAGAAUGGAACAAUGGUUUGAUUAGAUAUUAAUUAAACCAAAUUAGUUUGAUUACAAUGGAGCUGCAUGGCUAUAGCUUUAAUUAAGCCAUAAUUAAUCUCAACCUUUUUGUCUUUCUCUCUAUCCCCAGGCAGGCACGUGGGUUGUGCAUGGCAUCUGCCAUCAGACUUAUAUGCUCUCUCUCAAGCCAACCACGUGCCAUUCUACCCACUCAUUGUUGUCCUCUCCUGCAAUCCGACCAUCCAUUUCUAAUCAACCCUUUUUCUCACCCAACAUACAGAGACCAUGACCUAAUUAUCCCUAUAUAUAUAUACACCCCAUCAGACCACUCUCACAAACCUUCUACAGCGCCGCACAACAGCCUUGGGAGGGCUGCUGCCCUUCCACUCCUCCCCUUCCAUUUCUUUUAUUUUCUUUACUUUUUUUGUGGGUAUUUGGAGGAUUUCUCACUCAAGCUUCAAAGAAUCAUCAUCAAGAGCACCACACCUCUAUUUUGGGUAGUUGGGUGAAGAAAUUACUUGGUUCAUACUAGCUCAUAGCUAGAAGUGACCAAUCUAACUCUCCCCUCUCUUCCUUAUUAUCUAU